rnacentral:rRNA from 1 species
AAUCAACGCUGGCGGCGUGCCUCAGACAUGCAAGUCGAACGCGAAAGUCCCCUUCGGGGGAUGAUUAGAGUGGCGCACGGGUGAGUAACACGUAGGUAAUCUACCUUCGAGUGGGGAAUAACUCAGGGAAACUUGAGCUAAUACCGCAUAAUGCAGCGGCACCACAUGGUGACAGUUGUUAAAGCAUUUAUGCGCUUGAAGAGGAGCCUGCGGCGGAUUAGCUAGUUGGUAAGGUAAUGGCUUACCAAGGCUACGAUCUGUAACCGGCCUGAGAGGGCGGACGGUCACACUGACACUGAAUAACGGGUCAGACUCCUACGGGAGGCAGCAGUCGGGAAUUUUGGGCAAUGGGCGAAAGCCUGACCCAGCAACGCCGCGUGAAGGAUGAAAU